rnacentral:rRNA from 1 species
UAGGGAAUCUUCCGCAAUGGACGCAAGUCUGACGGAGCAACGCCGCGUGAGUGAAGAAGGAUUUCGGUUCGUAAAACUCUGUUGUUAGAGAAGAACAGCGCAUAGAGUAACUGUUAUGCGUGUGACGGUAUCUAACCAGAAAGCCACGGCUAACUACGUGCCAGCAGCCGCGGUAAUACGUAGGUGGCAAGCGUUGUCCGGAUUUAUUGGGCGUAAAGCGAGCGCAGGCGGUCAAUUAAGUCUGAUGUGAAAGCCCCCGGCUCAACCGGGGAGGGUCAUUGGAAACUGGUUGACUUGAGUGCAGAAGAGGACAGUGGAAUUCCAUGUGUAGCGGUGAAAUGCGUAGAUAUAUGGAGGAACACCAGUGGCGAAGGCGACUCUCUGGUCUGUAACUGACGCUGAGGCUCGAAAGCGUGGGUAGCAAACAGG